GNUAAACGCUGGCGGCGUGCAUAACACAUUCAAGUCAACGGGAAUCAAAUGAUGGAGACUUCGGUCGAAAGAGUUUGAGGAUAGUGGCGGACGGGUGAGUAACGCGUGAGUAACCUGCCUUAAUGAGGGGGGAUAACAGUUGGAAACGACUGCUAAUACCGCAUAACGUGUGAAGAAGGCAUCUGAAACACAUCAAAGGAGCAAUCCGCAUUAAGAUGGGCUCGCGUCUGAUUAGAUAGUUGGUGAGGUAACGGGCUCACCAAGUCGACGAUCAGUAGCCGGACUGAGAGGUUGAACGGCCGCAUUGGAACUGAGAUACGGUCCAGACUCCUACGGGAGGCAGCAGUGGGGAAUAUUGGGCAAUGGGCGAAAGCCUGACCCAGCGACGCCGCGUGAGGGAAGAAGGUCUUCGGAUUGUAAACCUUUGUUGACAGGGAAGAAGAAAGUGACGGUACCUGUAAAGAAAGCCACGGCUAACUACGUG
rnacentral:rRNA from 1 species